GAUGAACGCUGGCGGCGUGCCUAAUACAUGCAAGUCGAGCGAACAGACGAGGAGCUUGCUCCUCUGACGUUAGCGGCUGACGGGUGAGUAACACGUGGAUAACCUACCUAUAAGACUGGGAUAACUUCGGGAAACCGGAGCUAAUACCGGAUAAUAUAUUGAACCGCAUGGUUCAAUAGUGAAAGACGGUUUUGCUGUCACUUAUAGAUGGAUCCGCGCCGCAUUAGCUAGUUGGUAAGGUAACGGCUUACCAAGGCGACGAUGCGUAGCCGACCUGAGAGGGUGAUCGGCCACACUGGAACUGAGUCACGGUCCAGACUCCUACGGGAGGCAGCAGUAGGGAAUCUUCCGAAAUGGGCGAAAGCCUGACGGAGCAACGCCGCGUGAGUGAUGAAGGUCUUCGGAUCUUAAAACUCUGUUAUUAGGGAAGAACAAAUGUGUAAGUAACUAUGCACGUCUUGACGGUACCUAAUCAGAAAGCCACGGCUAACUACGUG
rnacentral:rRNA from 1 species